CAGCGGCGAAUGGGUGAGUAACACGUGGGUAAUCCACCCUCGGCACCGGAAUAGCCCGGGGAAACCCGGAUUAAUGCCGGAUGGCCCAGCAGCUCUUCGGGGCGGCUGGAAAAAGUAGCUUAGGCCUCUGGCCGGGGACGAGCCCGCGGCGGAUUAGCUUGUUGGUGAGGCAAAGGCUCACCAAGGCUCCGAUCCGUAGCUGGUCUGAGAGGACGAUCAGCCACACUGGGACUGAGACACGGCCCAGACUCCUACGGGAGGCAGCAGUGGGGAAUCUUGCACAAUGGGCGAAAGCCUGAUGCAGCGACGCCGCGUGAGGGAAGAAGGCUUUCGGGUUGUAAACCUCUUUCAGAAGGGACGAAGCCACUCGGGUUAAUAGCCCAGAGGGUGACGGUACCUUCAGAAGAAGCCCCGGCUAACUACGUGCCAGCAGCCGCGGUAAUACGUAGGGGGCAAGCGUUGUCCGGAUUUAUUGGGCGUAAAGAGCGUGUAGGCGGCCAUGCAGGUCCGUUGUGAAAACUCGAGGCUCAACCUCGAGACGCCGAUGGAAACCGUAUGGCUAGAGUCCGGAAGAGGAGAGUGGAAUUCCUGGUGUAGCGGUGAAAUGCGCAGAUAUCAGGAAGAACACCCGUGGCUAAGGCGGCUCUCUAGUACGGUAC
rnacentral:rRNA from 1 species